CAGUCGCCGCGGGAAUACGUAGGGUGCGAGCGUUAAUCGGAAUUACUGGGCGUAAAGCGUGCGCAGGCGGUUGUGUAAGACAGGUGUGAAAUCCCCGGGCUUAACCUGGGAACUGCGCUUGUGACUGCACAGCUAGAGUAUGGCAGAGGGGGGUGGAAUUCCACGUGUAGCAGUGAAAUGCGUAGAGAUGUGGAGGAACACCGAUGGCGAAGGCAGCCCCCUGGGCCAAUACUGACGCUCAUGCACGAAAGCGUGGGGAGCAAACAGGAUUAGAUACCCCCGUAGUCCCUGUCUCUUAUAC
rnacentral:rRNA from 1 species